UGGCGAACGGGUGAGUAACACGUGACUAACCUGCCUUCUAGUGGGGGAUAACUCCGGGAAACCGGGGCUAAUACCGCAUAACAUCCUUGGGUGAAAUUCCUGGGGAUCAAAGCAGCAAUACGCUGGAAGAGGGGGUCGCGGCCGAUUAGCUAGUUGGCGGGGUAAUGGCCCACCAAGGCAGUGAUCGGUAGCCGGCCUGAGAGGGCGCACGGCCACACUGGAACUGAAACACGGUCCAG
rnacentral:rRNA from 1 species